UCCUCUUUCAUCCACUCCCAGCAGAGGUCUCCAAUGAGCACGGCGAACUCGAACGCAUCCGCUGGCAGGUAAAAAGUGUCGCGCCAUUCUCCCCGAGCUUAACCAAGAAUCUAUGGGUGCCUACCCCCGGUGCUCCUUCGUCGUCACCGAGCAGACCACAUAGCCGGUAGGUGCAGCUCCAACGAUCUCAUGGCUACAAGUGGCGUGGUGGGUUUUUUGUGUGGCAGGAGUCCACCGGUCAACGGCGCAAGGUCCACCGACGAGCAGUGCUCGGUUCGUUGUGUGGUGGACCUCCUCGGGCGGGCGGGUUGACUGCCAGGACCAUGUCCGGUAGGCGAUGAAGUUGUGCACAGUUCAUUGGUGGCGCCCAGUAGUUAGGCUCAGGGUGCACUGCAGUUUGCUGCACGUGCGCGUGUAGCAAGCGAGUGCACAGGAAGCCGCCGCAUAUGCAUGUUCUGUUGAAGGUCAUUUUUUGUUCAAAUGCAGUUCUGCUGGCUGCUAGUGCCUAAUUUCGUGUGUAUGCAUGUAUGUGUGUGACCGUAAAAACAAUGAACAGAGUAUGUGUGCGCAGUUUGGUUAGCUCGGUCGUGCAUUACUUUUGUUUUGUUUUGUGCGGUUCGCUGUGUGUGCCUAUGUAAAACAAUGAGAUAGAUGUGUUUGCUUUGAAAACUCACGUUGUUCCCUCAUGUGGUUAGCUAUAAAAACUCCUCACAAGUUCACAAAAUCAAUGAAACACUUGCAGUGCAUUUGAUCCUCGGAUGUGGUUCACUGUUGAGGGUGAUGAUGUUCACUUGCGCCCAACAUGAAAGUCCGAAAAAAUAGCGCAACAACAAAGAUUGUAAUGAGGUUCACUUCGAUAUAUGUCGUGGUUCACUUGCCUCCUCUCUUCGGUCCACUCUCGUUCACAAAAAAUUUGAAAAAAAGACA
rnacentral:lncRNA from 1 species